rnacentral:misc_RNA from 1 species
GAUGAAGAACGUAGCGAAAUGCGAUAAAUAAUGUGAAUUGCAGAAUUCAGUGAAUCAUCGAAUCUUUGAACGCACCUUGCGCCCUUUGGCUAUUCCGAAGGGCAUGCCUGUUUGAGUAUCAUGAACACCUCAACUCUUCACGGCUUGCCGUGAUGAGUUUGGACUUUGGGGGUCUUGCUGGCCUACGAGCCAGCUCCUCUCAAAUGUAUUAGCUUGCCGGUGUUUGGUGGCAUCACAGGUGUGAUAACUAUCUACGCUUGUGGUUUUCCACUAGGUAACCUUCAGCAAUGGAGGUUCACCGGAGCUCACAAAUGUCUCUCCUUGCCAAGGACAGAUUUUGACCAUUUGAUCUCAAAUCAGGUAGGACUACCCGCUGAACUUAAGCAUAUCAAUAAGCGGAGGA